CUUACAGGAUCCACUCCACUGGGGCGAUGUGGGAUGUUACAUUUGGAGCAUCUCUAAUGGCUAUCAAAGAAUGCAACAAUUUACUGUAUGGUUGACGUGGUAUGUUGUUACUCAAUUGCCCUUUGAAAAAUGUUUGUCAUUCCAAUGAACUAGGCAAACCAAGUGGUAAAGUUGUGCUUUAUAGUUUUAUUGGGUGAUGCUAGAGAUACCAUAUUUGUGUAGAUCACAUACGAACCACCUCUCCAAUAGAGGUGGGACUUACCAAUAUUAGAGAGAUGUUCAUAUGUGGUCUAAAAAAUGUAGAAGUGGGACCCAAUUUGCGUACUGAUGUAGAAACAGGCAAUAUUUACCUACUUUGGGGGAAAAACCUAUAGGAAACGAGUUUAUCGUAACGUGAUGUCCUAGUCCAAUAAUAUCAUGUCAUUUGGAGACAAAAUUACAAUAAUACGACAAUAUUCAAGUAGGACACCACAUUGCAGUGAACUCGUUCUAUGCAAGUUUUUCUCCUACUUUGAAGAGUAUACAAAAUUUACUAGCUCAAUUGCCUAAAAGCAUAUCUAACGGGAGUCUUAUGGCUUGGGCAAAUUGAUAAUUUUGUCUCAAAUUUGAAACAAAUAACUGUUAACAAACAAAAUUUGACUUUAGGUUGAUGUCAACCACGUUAUAUAUUUUUCUGGUCAGACGUGAGCGUGACAACGCAUCAGUUGACCAAAACCCGGAUGGUGAGGGCCGCGGUAUAGGUGCACUCAUCCAAUAUCUAUUAGAUUUCUAAAAGUUAUCUAUCCUACAAUCCAGUUUUUUUUCGUGAAAAAAUAAUAUUUUUUUAAAAGAAAAAAUUUGAAAAAUUAUAUUUCUACUGUUGGGCCCACAUGACACAAUAUGGGUUGUUGGAUUGUAGAAAAAAAAUGUAAUCUAAUUGUCCAUAUUAAUUCAAUUAUAAAAAAUACAAAAAAAUGCAAAAAGAAAAGAGAAGAGAAUAUGAACCAUGGUUGGGUGAGACAAGAUUGUAAUCUCAGAUAAUGACACAUUGGGUGGUUUAUAAAUUUUUUUAAAAAUAAUUUUUUUUAUUGCCAAUUGGCCGAGCAAUUCGUUUAUAGGAUGGAUAUGCACUUGGGCCAUUACUAUUCACCGAGGCAAUAAUUGUCUUUGCCCAAUUGACGGGGCAAUUAUUACCUUAGAGCAUAUCCACACAUGGUCCAAUUGAUAAGGGUAAUUUAGUUGAAUUUUCCUUGACCCCAAAAAAGGUGGUCCACUAGUGCAAAAAAUGGAAGGCAAUUGUGUCAAGAGCUUGUGCCCUUUCAGUUGCCCUUGCAAGAUUUGUCUUGGCUUGUGGCAUUGCACUUGCCCAAUUGUAGUAGUGGGGUCCAUCCACGUGCACAACUAGCAUCCUUGCAGACUAUUGGAUUUCCAAUUGUGCUUUGAUCUGGACCGUUACAGUACUUUCAUCUGGAUCGUUGGAUUUCCAAUGUUAAAAAAAUUGAAAAUUAAAGAUUGUCCCACUUGGCACAAUCUAAUGCAUCUGAUUUGAACAAGAUUUAGUAAAUCAACAGCCUGGAUUAAUUUGAAGGCAAAAAAAUCUAAAAAAAUACCAAAACAAUCUACAAAAAAAUGCAAAUGCUUUUUUUAAGGGUUUUUUUUUAAUUUAAUUUUUUUUAAACUUUAAUCCUUGAAGUUUGAAAUUUAAAAUAAACUUGAUGUUAGAUUGCAUAUUGAUAACAGUCAUUUGAUGUGUCCUUAAUUCAAAAUAAUUAAUGUGUAUUUUAUUCAAUGUCUCUCAUUAAAUAUUUAAAUUUAUUAAUAUACAUAUUCUAAUUUAUUUUUUGACCAAAAAAAGUUUUUUUUUAAAUUUAUUAAUUUUAUUUAACAUUCUUCAAACUUGAAAGACUCAAUUAAUGUACCUAAAUGUUAGUAUCAAAAUGUAUUAUAUUGAAUUAAUGUAUUUAAAUGUUAGUACCAAAAUGUAUGCAUUGAAAUGUAUUAUAUUAAAUUAAUGUACCUAAAUGUGUGUACCAAAAUGUAUGUACUGAAAUGUAUAUACCAAAAUGUAUGUACCGAAAUGUAUGUACCUAAAUGUGUGUACCAAAAUGUGUGUACCUAAAUGUAUGCACAGAAAUGUAUGCACCGAAAUGUAUUAUAAUAAAUUUAAUGU
rnacentral:lncRNA from 1 species